CCUACGGGGGGCAGCAGUGAGGAAUAUUGGUCAAUGGACGAGAGUCUGAACCAGCCAAGUAGCGUGAAGGAUGACUGCCCUAUGGGUUGUAAACUUCUUUUAUAUGGGAAUAAAAUGUUCCACGUGUGGCUUUUUGUAUGUACCUUAUGAAUAAGGAUCGGCUAACUCCGUGCCAGCAGCCGCGGUAAUACGGAGGAUCCGAGCGUUAUCCGGAUUUAUUGGGUUUAAAGGGAGCGUAGGUGGGUUGUUAAGUCAGUUGUGAAAGUUUGCGGCUCAACCGUAAAAUUGCAGUUGAUACUGGCAGUCUUGAGUACAGUAGAGGUAGGCGGAAUUCGUGGUGUAGCGGUGAAAUGCUUAGAUAUCACGAAGAACUCCGAUUGCGAAGGCAGCUUACUGGACUGCAACUGACACUGAGGCUCGAAAGUGUGGGUAUCAAACAGGAUUAGAUACCCGUGUAGUC
rnacentral:rRNA from 1 species